GAUUGCGAUGGAGAAGAAAAGUAUCACACCGCUUCUUCUCUUUUCUUUGCUUCUUUUCUUCUUCUCCAGGAGUGUAGAGAUUCACGAUUCAAUCGCCCUCUUGCCGAAAGAAGAGAUGUCAUACUUCUCUCCACAGCAAUGGCGUUGGAUCUCAAAGAUCUGGAGCGAGAAAGAGCGCAAUCGGAGCCAAAAGCCCGAGAUCUCGCACGGGAGACCAUACAAAUCGCAUGGGACGAGGUCAACUUUUGGUUAAAGCCGGAGAACAAGAGAUAAAGCUCAUACGGAAACUGUGAAGAGCUUCCCAGAUCCGUGGUAAGCUUUGCUUUCAGACUUUUGGUUUCCUUGCAUAGUUGUGUGUCGACUUCGCUGUUUCGAGCCGUGUGCUCUUGAAUGUCUCUUGUGGAGUGUUUUUCGUGCUUGUGGAUCCAUUGGACUGCUGCUGACAGAAGAUAGAGAGCACAGAUGUUUGGCUGCGAGAGCGGAAUCUAUAUCCAGCAGCUCUGCGUUCGUGCUCUCUAUUCUUCUGUCAUCAAUCUUUCGAGAGCUCUGCUUGCUUCAGACAUGAACUCAAAUGUUGCGUGUUUUGCUUGAGGCCAUAGCUGUGCUUUUCUUCCAAAAGCCAACAGGAAAGAAUUUCAAGUGUUUAGUGCUUGCUGCUUUCCACAAACAUAAAAACACAAAAGAGAAGCAAUGGAAGCCUUUCUUUUCUUAUUCUCGUAUUUAUGUAACUUGUCUGUGCCGUGAGGAACUUUGUUGUGCACUUUGUAACAAGGAAACGAAAGGAGGGUGUGAUUGUUUCCACUCGCUGGAAGAUCCAGGCGUAAAUCGAAAUAAGAUUUGUGUUUCCCA